rnacentral:rRNA from 1 species
AUAUUAUUAAGCGGAGGAAAAGAAACUAACCAGGAUUCCCUCAGUAACGGCGAGUGAAGCGGGAAGAGCUCAGACUGAAAAUCUUCGGAGUUGUAGUCUGUAGAAGCUAGAUCGGCGUUCGACCCCGGGCCAAGUCUCCUGGAACGGAGCACCAAGGAGGGUGACAGUCCCGUCUAUGCCUGGGGGUAGGAUGCGUACGGUCGGCUUUCGAAGAGUCGAGUUGCUUGGGACUGCAGCUCUAAGUGGGUGGUAAAUUCCAUCUAAAGCUAAAUAUUGGUGGGAGACCGAUAGCGCACAAGUA